GGUAAUUAUAAUAACCAAAUUUGGCCUUAAAAAUGAAACUCCCUCUUCUUUGUGGAACUUUACAUAUAUUGCCCAACUUAGUUGAUGAUGAUCUGCCUUUUUUCAUUCUUUUAAAAAAUUCUUUAUAAUGAAGGAUAAUCUCUGGAUGGCAAAGGAAUAUAUUUCAUAAUGAAAAUGAUACAAAAAUAAAAGAAUAUUUUUUGAGAACAAAAAGGAAGCUACAUCUUUGAGAAAUAUUUUAGCUGGGACAUUGAUGCAUUGUUGGUGGAGUUGUGAACGAAUCCAACCAUUCUAGGGAGUAGUUUGGAACUAUGCUCAAAAAGUUAUCAAACUAUGCAUACCCUUUGAUCCAGCAGUGUUACUACUGGGCUUAUAUCCCAAAGAGAUACUAAAGAAGGGAAAGGGACCUGUAUGUGCACAAAUGUUUGUGGCAGCCCUUUUUGUAGUGGCUAGAAAUUGGAAACUGAAUGGAUGCCCAUCAGUUGGAGAAUGGCUGAAUAAAUUGUGGUAUAUGAAUAUUAUGGAAUAUUAUUGUUCUGUAAGAAAUGACUAACAGGAUGCUUUCAGAAAGGCUUGGAGAGACUUACACGAACUGAUGCUGAGUGAAAUGAGCAGGACCAGGAGAUCAUUAUAUACUUCAACAACAAUACUAUAUGAUGACCAGUUCUGAUGGACCUGGCCAUCCUCAGCAAGGAGAUCAACCAAAUCAUUUCCAAUGGAGUAGUAAUGAACUGAACCAGCUACGCCCAGAGAAAGAACUCUGGGUGAUGACUAAAAACCAUUACAAUGAACUCCCAAUCCCUAUAUUUAUGCCCACAUGCAUUUUUGAUUUCCUUCACAAGCUAAUUGUACAAUAUUUCAGAGUCUGAUUCUUUUUGUACAGCAAAAUAACGGUUUGGUCAUGUAUUCUUAUUGUGUAUCUAAUUUAUAUUUUAAUAUAUUUAACAUCCACUGGUCAUCCUGCCAUCUGGGGGAGGGGGUGGGGGGUAAGAGGUGAAAAACUGGAACAAGAAGUUUGGCAAUUGUUAAUGCUGUAACGUUAUCCAUGCAUAUAAUCUGUAAAUAAAA
rnacentral:lncRNA from 1 species